AAAUAAUCAUUAGAGCACAUAAAAGAGAGACACACAAUUUAUAUAUAGCGAAAAUAUUGAUUUUCUUACCUUUUAGAUUUAGAAUUCCUUCCAAAAAUUUCUCAUCUUUGCCCGCACAUACAUACAUAAAUACAUACAAGGAAAACCAAAAAAAUUAAAAUUCCUAUGGAAGCUGAUGUUUCUAAUCUCUCAGCAAUCUUGAGAGUGUAUCUUUUUUUUUUUUUGGGGUGAUAUUUCUUGAAAAUUGACAAAAGGGGUUGUUGUGAAUUUUAGUCUUCUCUUUUGUGAAUUUCCUUGAAAAUUAUUUAAAGGGGUUGUAGGGUUUUGAGAUUUGGGAAGUGGGAUGGUGAGUUUUUGGGUUUUUUUGUUCUUUAGUUUUGUGUCUUUAAUGCCUUCUGGAGCUCUUGGAAGUGUAAUUUUGAUUGGAAAAAACCUUACUUUGUCUUUUGACGACAUUGAAGCUAGUUUUGCUCCCUCACCAAAGGGUUCAGGCAAAUGUGGAACAUUGUAUGUGGCAGAGCCUUUGGAUGCAUGCUCAACCUUGACUAACAAGAUUGAACCGAUUAAUAACUUCACAAAAGAUCCAUUUGCGCUGAUAAUUAGGGGUGGAUGUAGCUUUGAGGAUAAAGUCAGAAAAGCACAAGCUGCAGGUUUUAAAGCAGCCAUUAUCUAUGACAAUGAAUAUGGUGUUAUCAUUCCAAUGGCAGGAACCUCUACUGGUGUGAAGAUACUCGCAGUGUUCGUUUCAAAAGCUUCUGGAGAAACACUCGCAAAGUAUGCUGGUGACACUGAUAUGGAAGUAUGGAUAAUCCCAAGCUUGGAAAACUCAGCUUGGUCAAUCAUGGCUACAUCGUUCAUUUCAUUACUUGCUAUGUCAGCCGUGCUUGGGAUGUGUUUCUUUGUUCGCCGACAUCAUAUACGAAGAGAGCGGCCCCGAGCCUCUCGUGUUCGUGAAUUUCAUGGGAUUAGUAGACGUUUGGUGAAAGCUAUGCCAAGUUUGAUAUUUACAUCAGUUGUUGAAGAUAAUUCUACAUCAGUAACAUGUGCUAUAUGCCUCGACGAUUAUAAUGUGGGAGAUAAGCUUAGAGUUCUUCCAUGCCGGCACAAAUUUCAUACCAAGUGUGUUGAUGCUUGGCUGACAUUAUGGAGAACCUUUUGCCCUGUUUGCAAACGGGAUGCAAGGACUAGCACUGGCGAACCAUCAGCAUCAGAAUCUACACCAUUGCUUUCUUCCAGUCUGCGAUCUGGAUCUUCAAUGUCAUCUCUAAGGUCAUCAUUAGCAUCAUCAGCAGUAAUACAUAUAGGCACAGGAGCAUCUCGAUCGCCUUCAUUUUCUCGUCCUCAAUCAAUCUCUAGCUCCCAUAACCAGCACUCUCUUUGGUCCUACCACCAGUCACCUCAUUUUGCUAUAAACCGAAGUUCACUCGACCUUCAAAAUGCAUCUUCGCAAAGAUCUGGUGCAUCUUACUUAAUUUCAUCUAACUCAUUGGGUUAUCCUUCUCUAUCACCUCUUAAUUCAAGAUAUGUGCCUGCAUAUAUUCCUAGUCCUAGCAAUCCCUCUUCGAGCUAUAUUGGAUCAGCAAGUCAGCAUCAUAACCCACUGCACCACAGUGAAUCAGUUACAAGCUUUUCACCAUUUGCAUCAGCUAACUCUCUUCCCGGAUGUGAGUCAUGAUUUAGUUGAUAGUUGGAAACACUAGUCGAAUUUGUGAAGCGGGGAACACGGUGGUUGGAUUGUUCUGACCACAAAUUACAGCUGAAGACAAUGGAAUUGAUUCGUAUUGGUUGCUGGGGCAUCUGGACUCAGGAAAUACAACAGGCUAUUACACAGUGGAGGGUUUACCCAGAGUGCUCAGAGGUUGUGGCAGAAGUUGUACCGGUUGCGGGUUUUCCUGGGGUUCCAAAAAUUAGCAAGUAGUUCUACUGGGUAAAACCUGAAUUAACCGUGGUGCACUUGCGGGAAACUCCUUGCCGAGGGCCUGUGCACUCCCGGGAUUAAUCGGGUCUCUUAGAGACUCGGACACCCGGUGCAAAUCAAAAAAAAAAAAAAAAAAAAAAAAUCGGAAAAUUCAUGAUAUUUGUGAAAAAGGUGUGACAUAACUUGUGGUUGAACUAAUUGCUUUUUAGUUAAGGCUUUCAAAGUCGUUAGCUCAAAUGCUGUGUGUGAGAAUUUGAAAUGAUGAAUUUUGCGUUA